rnacentral:rRNA from 1 species
UACGGGGGGGGCAAGCGUUGUUCGGAAUUACUGGGCGUAAAGGGCUCGUAGGCGGCCAACUAAGUCAGACGUGAAAUCCCUCGGCUUAACCGGGGAACUGCGUCUGAUACUGGAUGGCUUGAGAUUGGGAGAGGGAUGCGGAAUUCCAGGUGUAGCGGUGAAAUGCGUAGAUAUCUGGAGGAACACCGGUGGCGAAGGCGGCAUCCUGGACCAACACUGACGCUGAGGAGCGAAGGCCAGGGGAGCAAAGCGGG